rnacentral:rRNA from 1 species
UACGGAGGGAGCUAGCGUUGUUCGGAAUUACUGGGCGUAAAGCGCACGUAGGCGGCUUUGUAAGUUAGAGGUGAAAGCCUGGGGCUCAACCCCAGAAUUGCCUUUAAGACUGCAUCGCUUGAAUCCAGAAGAGGUGAGUGGAAUUCCGAGUGUAGAGGUGAAAUUCGUAGAUAUUCGGAAGAACAUCAGUGGCGAAGGCGGCUCACUGGACUGGUAUUGACGCUGAGGUGCGAAAGCGUGGGGAGCAAACAGG